rnacentral:rRNA from 1 species
CCUACGGGAGGCAGCAGUGGGGAAUUUUGGACAAUGGGGGCAACCCUGAUCCAGCAAUGCCGCGUGCAGGAAGAAGGCCUUCGGGUUGUAAACUGCUUUUGUCAGGGAAGAAAUCCCUUGGGUUAAUACCUCGGGGGGAUGACGGUACCUGAAGAAUAAGCACCGGCUAACUACGUGCCAGCAGCCGCGGUAAUACGUAGGGUGCGAGCGUUAAUCGGAAUUACUGGGCGUAAAGCGUGCGCAGGCGGCUUUGCAAGACAGGUGUGAAAUCCCCGGGCUUAACCUGGGAACUGCACUUGUGACUGCAUCGCUAGAGUACGGUAGAGGGGGAUGGAAUUCCGCGUGUAGCAGUGAAAUGCGUAGAUAUGCGGAGGAACACCGAUGGCGAAGGCAAUCCCCUGGACCUGUACUGACGCUCAUGCACGAAAGCGUGGGGAGCAAACAGGAUUAGAUACCCUUGUAGUC